CCGUAACACAAUUAUUGUGACCCAAAAAUCGUUUUGGACGAAACCCUCACCUCACGUACAAUCGGUUUUUCCUCAAAACCAAGAUCGAUAUCUUUCCUCUCCUAUCCUUUCUUAUCUCCAAACACACAUACACAUACACUCUCUCUCUCUCCUCUUCUCGUCUCUCUUUCUCUCCUUUAUCAUACAGCCUCUCCCUAUUAUCACCGACCACAACAAUGGCGGUCAAAGGCUAGCACGGCCCUAUAUCCUGGUUGAUCUCUCCCUCCCUCAAUCUUUCGUAGAUUUCUUUCUUGAUCUCCCUCUUGUUCCCUCAAUUUCUUCUCCACCUAAACCUUGGGAGUUGUUCUUGAUGCAGCACAAACCCCAACGAUGUCCUGUAGGGCCGGUCUCCUUCCUCGCCAACGACUUUUUCUUGAUCGUGGAUUGCAACCGAACUACUGCUAAGAUUAAUUAGCAGUAGUUGUUGGCUCUUCUUAAAGCCUUUUAUUGUCCACUUAGGCUGUUCCAUCAUUUGAUCAUUUUCCCUUGGCCGAGAACUAUGCCUCAGUGUCUAAACAAGCCAAUCGAUGCAGCUCUAUUGUGCCAAGAAUGUUGUUUGGGCCGUUCCCAGAAUCAAACAGCUGCAUUCUCGAAAUUUCUAGGCAAGAGGGUUGCAUACUAGGUUCCAUUUAUCAGAUGUAUGCCCUAGAAGCCAACCAGACUGACACAUGUAUUUUUUUUAGGACAUAAAUUUAUAUUUGACUUCAUAUAUUAUGAAUGAAUUUGGAAUUUUCUAUUUAUAUUUUGUAUGUGUACAUGAAUCGUUCAAGAAAUAAUAAGAUGAUACCACAUAUUCUCUAGAGUUGAGAAUUUGAGAUAUGUAUCAUUAGUGGUUAAUUUCUAAAUAUUUUGUAUGUGUACACGAGAAGUUACUUGGAUGUCUACUUACUUGUUAGCGACUUACUCAAUGUUGUAGUAGUGUGACUGGUCCUUUAACCUGUGGUGUCUCAACUAUUCAUAAUAAAGUUACUGUAACUUGACUAUACAUACACUUGGUCCGAUCCCUAACCAUUUGGGUUAUUGCGGUGUAUGUUUGCAGUCCUAAGAUGGAUGACCCCGUGGGAAGUAGGAUGUCACAAUUGGUAUCAAAGCCAAUUACUAGUCAAAAGUGUAAGAAUAUGUCUCGGCUGAGUCGGGGUUAUAUUGCGGCCAGAGGGCAGCUCUCUGGCUGAUGAUUGUUGUGGGUGGAGUGUGGCUCUCCACAAGAUUGGCUAAGGCUAGCGAGAUGAGUCUAAUAUUGCCUGGUUCUUAGAAAUGUGCUUGAGCCUGACGAGGAUGUCAAAGGGGGAGGGUGUGACACCCUUAGGAUUUGAAAUAGUCCUAUAUAUAUAUGAGAUAUAAUAGUGCUAAACUUCUUAACCCAGCUAUAACAUUAUUUUGGAUAGUGGCAGGCCCAAAAGGUUAAAGGAGUAAAGUGUGCUAGGGUCAGAGUAGUCUUAGGAUAGGCGAUCCCCUGAAAACUGAAGUGUUAUAGUGUUCCAUUCUAUUGGAAUGUCACUACAUGCUACUAGGCAUCAUUAGUGGAUUGUGGGACCCACGAGAGUUUUCUCAAUAAACGAUGGACUGACUUGAAAUUAUUCCAACCUACUGAAAAGAGUUGCAGUGAUAUUAUUGAUGGUGAUCAUAAUAUAUCUCACUAUCAGAUAAAAUAGAACCUAUGAGGUCACACAUAUAAAAGUUGUGACUGAUCGGAUAGCUAAAUCAUGAUUUUGCAAUCGCUAGAGAAUCUAAUUGUCAACAUGUUGAUAAUUGAAUUAAUUUGUAAUUAUUACAAAUUAGUAGAAUUAAAAUACAAAUAGAAGAUUUACUAAUAGUUAGUGAAUUGUGAGAGAACUUAUGUGCAAAUAUUGCAUUACUAAUUUAAUUUGAUCAAAUUAGCAUUGAGUUUUAGUCGAAUUAUAUUGAGAUUAAUCAAUCAAACUGAUUAAAGAUAAGAUAGACUUAACCUUAGUAUUAUUCUUAUCCUUAAUAGUUAUUAUCACUUAUAAAAAACGAUUAUAACCCUCUUUAUACGUUCAUAGAUUUUUUAGAAAAAAUUAACCGCCACCCCUCCUCUCCUCCUCUCCCUUGUUCUCUCCUCAUGCAAGGAGAGUUUUAAUAAAGAUCCAUCAGUAGAAAAAUGUUCUCUACAAAGAAUCUAGCACCUUGUUGAGGAUUUUGAUAAGAUCAGCAAACUUAUGUGGAUAUCUGCAGAGGCUAGAUGCAUGUGCGGUUUCAAAAGAACCAAAUUCUACGAUCAUCAGAUUGCAGUGUAGAUCUACUAGCGUAAUGGUAAAGAUCAGAUCUUCCCCUUUUCUUUUUAAAUCUUAAAUACAUGAGAGAUCCUAUUUUUCGUGUUCUUGAGAUCAUAUCUUGAGUUUAAAAUCAAGUUUUGUUUGAUUUUCUUUUUUUAUUAUGCUUUUAUCAUAUGCAAAAUCUAACACCAUUGGCUUCCUCCUCACGGACACCUCGAUCUUGAUUCAUUGCACUUCAUGGUAAAUAACCUCUAUGAUUAUUUGCAUUUGUCUUUCGUAUUUUUGGUGUAAUUUUUGGAGUAGCCGUUAUUCUUUUUUGUGAUAUGCCAUGUUUUGAUGCCGUUAGCAUGUCGAUUCGUGUCGAAUCCAGCUGUCAGUCAUGAUAAGCCUCUUGCUAGUUGAGUAAGUGUCCUUUGGCCUUUGUGUUUGAAUUUUGUGAAGCCAAAAAAUGCCCGAAAUUUUCUUCUGUGCGUGUGCUGCCUAGUACUAAAAAGUUGGUGUCGUUUAGGGUUCAGUGACUGAUUUGAGUAAACCACUGGAUGUGGGGCUGAUUUGAGUGAACCACUAGUCGUGGUUGUUCUUGGAGAGAUCCCUUCAGUCUAUAGUGCCUUGUAGUCAAAUUUGAUGCAACAAAACACCCUGGGGAGUAAUCGGAGCGCAUAUGUUGUCCCAAACACCAAAAACGACAAAAUUGGGACGGAAUUGGGUCUUUGGUAGCCUAAACUCAUUGCUUGGGUGAGAGUUGUGGCUGCAUAGGAAUGUCGCUCACUAUCUCAGAUCACCAAAAUAGUCAGUGAUGAUUGACAUACUGUAGAGGCUAAACAGAAUGUUGGUGUUGCCCUGGCGCCAAAAACGUCAAAAUUUGGGAGCUUUUGGACUGAUUCAGGUGCAUUGCUAAUUGUGGAUACACUCGUAGACAUUUCUGUUGUCCUUAUAUCUCUAGAGGGUAUGUUGGGUGCGCUGCUAAACUGUACGAUGUUCUCAUGUGUAUUUCAAACCCAAAGUGACGUAGGAAUGCCUUUUUAGGCCGUUUCGCCUAAUCUGGACAGCGAAAAGUGUUCAACCAUGCUAUUUGCUAGCUAGGGAAGAACUCCAUUGGUGUCGUGUUGCAUUUUAGAUCGACCCUUGGGGUUUUUUGUUUGUCCCUUGCUAUUCCCUUGCUAUCCCGGAGCCAAAAAUAGCAAGUUUUAGACUUGUCGGGGCAAAAUUUUGCCAGUAUAUCACACUGCUUGUGCAUUCAAACUCUAGGGGUUGUUAAAAGUCUUCCAAAGAUUCCUUGCCAACACGGGACAAUCUUAGUGAUGCCGCCAAUUCCUAUGCCAAAAUUGGCGUAAAUCGAAAUCUAUUACGGCUUGUGUAGAGGUUGUGGCCUUCAAUGUAGCACACUACGUGCAUUCCUGACCACACGAACUUCAAAGUGCUUUUUGAGAUAGCGGAGAAGAUUAGAGAUGUCUAAGAUUGGUUGUUAGGUUGGGUCAUAGUUAUGGGUUUUGAUGUGGGUCCCAGAAGCCGUACUAUGAGGCUUGUUACGUAAGUCGUCCUAUAGACGGAUGAACUUAGGGACGAGUUUUGACACAUGUGUGAUUGGUCUUGUUUCGAGUGAUACCUAGGGAGACUUGUUGAGCUGAGGCUUCCUAGUCACAGACUUGAGGUUGGCGCUUCGAUCUGAAGUUGAUAGUGGUUUCUUUCUCAGUAUUUCAUAUUCAUAUCUUGUUAUUAUUUUACUUGCACCUACCUUGCAUAUUUAUAUCUACUUACAUCGCUUGUUAGUAGUUUCAUACUAAUUACUUGUUUGCUAUCUGCUAUAUCACUUUGCAUAAGGACAUUGAGAUGUAGAGUUUUUAGUGUUUAUUCAUUAUUAGUCAUAUAUAUUUGAUCUAUAGUCCAAGUUGUACUUGUUGACACUCUUUGGGAGUCUUUUGGCUGAUUGUUGUUGUUUGACAGUUCAGUUGACCAUAUUGCAUAUGACUACCGUUGCUUCUUGUUGUGCAUAUUGCAAACACAUGCACUAAGGUUUGAUCCUCCCAUGGGUUAUACGUAUUUAUUUUCAAAAAUAUGGUUGGUUUAAGCCGCCAACCAAGAUUUGUGCGUAAUGGGUUCAUGCCAGCUGCUGCGCGAUUGCCCCAAGUCCGUGAGAUAGUGGUUUGCCUGUCAAGCCCCAUGGCUCUUUUUUAAAAUUCUUCUUAAUGAAACUAUUGAAAAACGUAAUUAUUUUUUAAAUCACCGAAGACACCCCGAAGUAUGCAUAGACCUGCCAUAUGGAUAGAGGCUCAUUUAUACAAAUGGAUAGAGUCAUCCCUGUAUAUGCAUAUGAUAUAUAGCACCUAAAAUAGAACGUUAACCAUAGAUACAACCACAACAACCAACAAAUAUGUACAUGAAUAAGAACAACUGAGCAUCUAAUAGGAGGGUGACCGACGAAUAGUAAUAAUCACAUUUAUCCACGUGUAUGAAUCCGUUAUUAAUCAUGUACCAAUGAAAUGAUCAACUAAAAUGAUAGUAAACUGAAAGUCAUCAUCUAUUUAAUCAUUACAAAUCAAUGAGAAGGAAACAAUCAUUGAAACUAAAGUAAUCUAAACAAACACAGGAAUAAGAUAAAUUGAUCAUUCAUGACUCAUAGCUCGGGACACAUCUAUCUAGUACCGUCCUAAUGCACCGUCCAGACUCUCACCGCUAGUGUCACUUAUAAAAACAAGGAAUAAGAAACAUAUAAAAUAUUUUUCAGUGGGUACUGCAAGCAGAUGAAGGCAAGCAGUACUCACUGAAAAACAAAGGAGAUAGUAAUCAACUAAAUGAACAGAUAUAAUGGAUAUAUAGUAGCAAUAACAAGCUGAAAGGAAAUAAUCAUCAGAUAUACAACUAAUUGCUACUAUAUAAAAUAUAAUACAAGUAUGCAUCAACUAGAUGAAUAGUCCAAAUAUACCCAAUCAAACCGCCAUGUUGGUAUAAUGACCUCAAGUAAUACAACAUUCUGCUUUUGCAUUUGGCAUAUGGCCCUAGCAAAUAAACUGCAUCAGGCUCACAAGUCGGAAAUAUGACCACUUUUUCGAAAAAGAAUACUAUUGCAGUGGCCAAAUCACCGGUGUACGUGAAAUACAUGUGGGCUGUGACAAUUGGUACAAUAUGCUCAAUUGCCAACUGUCGUUAGAUAGCCGAGAAAGAAUCCACAAAAGCCACCGAACAGUCGGGUCAACCAUAUCUCAAAGAUAUCACAAUAACAUCGAUCAAUCAAGUCAACCAGAUAAUAGGAUCAUCUACUAUAAUUAUGUAAUAGAUAUCUAGGUGUCACCGACCACAAGGUCAAUCAAAGUAUACUAGUCAUGCAAUAACAUCCAAUCAAUAAAGGAAUACCACUCUACAACUAAAUCAUGAAAAUAUAGAUAUUCAACAAGUGUAGAUCAAACAAGCUAUGAAGUCUAGUGGUGUACGAAGUGCUUAACAGAAAUCAUAUAAUCAAUAGGAAGUGAAAAGAAAAGAAAUCACCGAGUAGGUACCACUAUACCAAAUUUGGAUCCAAGCACCUACAUCAAAGUCAACGAACACCUGCGACUCUGCUGAUACACCCAGACCUAUGAAAGAUCCCACAGAGUCACAAGCCAUUCCACAACUCAAGACUAACCCUAAGUGACUCAAAGUCAUUUAACUCACAACCUUAAUACCACUGAGCAAUCAAUUCCUUUUACCGAUUCCCAAAACUCGCUGGAAUUGUCGGAAAUACAUUGGAACACUUUUGAAACCCACGAAGUCUCCCAAAAGAUACCAAUCAUCACCAUAGACCACCUGCUACCUCGAAAUGCACCAAUUUGGGUGUCCAUGAAGCAACACACAAACACAACGCUAAAUAGCGCGUUUAAUGAAAACUGUCUACAUUAGUUCACCGAAAAAGCUGAUUUUGGUUUCUAAACCCACCGCAAAACAGCCAAGAGGCAACGAGAGCAGCCAGCCAAGAGGCUCGAUACCUGAAACAGGGCAUUCAUGUUGAUUUAUCGUGAAUCUGAAACUGAAUCGCAAUCCAAAACCCGAUUUUAGCGACGAUCGCACUGGAAACUUAUUUAAGGUCCACAAAGGCCAUCAGACCUAGGACAACCAGUCCAGAGGUCCGGCGUAGUUGGUUCGCACUACUCCAGGUAGCCAACAUGGCCUAAUUACCAAUAGGACCCUAGGCUUACAUCAAAUAACAUUAUCAAUAUGUAAAAAUGGGGUUUCUGGCUUAUUACCGAAAAUCCUACGAUUCGAAAACUAACCAGUAGUGCGGACUAGUAGGUAUCAACAUUUCGAAAGCCGUGCUCACUAUUUGGAGUGCAAACGGUGGCUGAGGAGCAUACUGGAGCAACUUGUUCUUUAGGUUCCAAAGUCUGCAGAAGCUACACUACGAAUCCUGCAAUCCAAGGCCAAAUGAAUUGCAGCAAAAGUUAGCGCGGUUAUCAGCAAACCCUCCGGAGGGAUGUGCUCACAAGUCGGGAUGUUGCCGGCAUUGGGUUUGGCUUUUCUUUUCGGGCUCCGGCGGCUAGAAGUGGUGCACGCUGGCCAGGAGGGCUGGCCAGCAUAGAGAAGUCCAAGGUGACGGCGACCAGUGAUAGGAGACGGUAGUGGCGACAGUUCAUGAGCCGCAACCAAUCUUUAUGCACCUCGGGUUAGGGUUGAGUUCCCGAGCAAGGUGGUGGUUAGGGGCGAUGGAGCGGCACUAAAGGAAGGCGCCUUGAAGGUCGGCGGUAGCGCCAGAUCUAGUGAUGCAGUCGAAUCCUUCACAAAUUGGGUUUAGGGCCCUAACCCCAGCUCGAGAGGGCUCGACGGCGCUAGAGCUAUCGGAGAGGAAUGCAAGAACCCUAUUAAGAGGCCGGUGGCGUGGGUCUAGGCUCGAGGUCGGGGAUUGGCGCUGGUGGUACGGGGGAGGGUGUACUGGCGGCUGGGGCUGGAGGAAGAGAAGAGGGCAAAAUAGGAUUAAGAAAACCUAGUUUGCUUUUAAUAUAGUUUUGUGAAAUUACAAGUUGGUCCCUCAAAUCUCAAUAUUUCAUACCUAGCGCUAAGCAGCACGCAUACUUUCUGAAUCCCACCUCUUUACUAAUUUUUGCACGAAACAAUACAUAAAAUGUCUCGCUUUUUCCUGAAAAAUUCAUUUUUCUUAAUUUUCUCUUUGUUUUAUGCUUUAAUUCAUGCAUUUUGUUGGGCCAAUAAGGCGCGGACACGUGGUACCCCGGUACACCACAGCGGUUCUAUUUAAAAGCAGUAAUUUCUGCUUUGCACCGGGAGCAUCGAAAAGCGAACCCCCGCAUGAAUUAAGGGAGGUUACAAUAACUACGAGCAGUUAUUAGCGGUUCCAAUCGGUUGAAAGUGGCCCGAGAAAAUAAGAGUAGUGGCCGAUCGUGGGAAAGCAAUAACCGAUUAACAAGGGCAGUCUAUAAAUAGGCCAAUAAUGCCCUCCAAAGAGGUCUUUUUCCCAUGAACAGAAGACCAACCUUAUUUUCUAUGCAAUUUCUUCGCAUUCCUUAUGGGUAGUUUUACUUGUAACCUUUUAUUUUCCAGCACUUACUGUUUUUUCCUAGGAGUAGAAGUAAACUAGAUCAACCGAGUCUGUAUGCCCAUAAGCACACUCAAUCCCUGUAUUCUCUCACCAGUCAAUUUCAAUAUAUUUAAAGGCUUUCGGCUAUUUAUGCUGACCUAUCACUAUGUUUUCUUCUAUUCGACUCUUCUGCCAACCUUAGUUUCUGUGCAGUCCGUACAUUCGGUUCAUCCAGCCGAACCGAUUCUAAAGUAGAGAUUUUGAACUCGGCUGAUCCGAUCCCUCGUCAGCCGAAUCGCUUGAUCCAGUUGAAGGGCGCAAACUUCGAGGGUCACUGAUCGUAGUCGUUCCGCUUCCCGACACGCUUCUCUAGAAGGAUCUUUGACCAGGUCAAAGAGGAGGGAAUUCAGCACCCAACACAUUUACCUCGCAUAAUCUGAAAACGGACUUCACCACGACUUCCGACAUUGCCAAACCAUGCCGGUGACAAUUUUGUUUCACUAAAAACUAUUUUGGUUUACGAAUUUAACCUUUUUCCUGAGUUUCUUGAAUCAAAACUCGAUUUUUUUUCAAAUUCAAAUUUUAUCAUCUCCACAUUGUCCUAGCUAGAUACGUGUGGAUUGAGAAUUGAUUGUUACCACUUGUUGAUGCAUAUAUAAUCCACAUGAUUACAUUGAUAGAUCAGUACCUUAUCAUGAAAGUCAUAUUUGUUCAGUUACCAUUAUAGAAGAAUAGCUUCCGUUUUAGUUACAAUUAUCCUAUUUAUCUAUAUUUUUCUCGUUAUUGUGCUUUCGAUUACCCACUUCUUGACCAAUAUCUACAUCUUGCCUUUGGCAGCUUGUGGUGUUCGCUGGAAAAUACGUGUACAUAUUUCUCAUCUCCCUAUUUUCAUAGAUAUUUUGGAUGGCAAGGCAAGUGACAUGAUGUGAGGUCGCGGUAGAUAUACCGUCUUGAGCUGACCCAUGAUACUUAGUAUUAGAUGUAUGCCCUAGAAGCCAACCAGGUUGAUACAUGUAUUACUUUUAGAAUAUAAAUUUGUAUUUAAUUUUAUAAGUUAUGAACGAAUUUGGAUAUUUAUUUUCAUUCAUGUUGUAUAUAUGCUCAUGAAUCGUCUAAAGAAUUAGUAAGAUGAUGACAUGUUUUCUCAAGAGUUGAGAAUUUGAGACAUGUGUCAUUGGAAAUUAAUUUCUAAAUGCUCCCGACCGAUAGAUCAUAACAGGGAUGAUGAUUGAUUCGAUGAGAUUGGUGCACAGGUCGCUUCCCUCUAAGGUAGACAUGUCACGCCCCGAGACCGCUACCAAUUUGGCCGGUUCGGGCGCGUCGGACAGACGCCGAACGGACAGCACCUCCCCUGUCCCCCCACGGCUAAACAACGAGAUUGUGUACAACAAGUGCCCAGAAAACAACUUGAUCACAUACACAAUCAAACAAUAGCGAGAGCACAACCAGUGCUAAUUAACUAAAGAGCAAGCAUCACAAGUAAUAAACAAGUGAAUAAAAGAGAGAUACUAAUCUAUUACAUCCAUACAACUUAAUACAUUUGAUUGCUUUACAUUCUUCCAAAAUACAAUAUAAACUUAAAGUUUACAAUUUCCCAAAAUAUCUCACACCUAUACAUCAUUUACUCUCAAGUAUGUACAAGGUAGCUCUAAUGCAAAGGGUAAGAAAACUAUACUACUACAACCUCUAGGGCGCUAAGCCCUUACCGCGAUCAACUGUCGGUCCGUUCUCGUGUGUACCUGUACCCCAAAACCACACGGGGUGAGAACUAUAUAAAUAUAGUUCCCAGUGGGUUCGGCCGUCGACUUCGCUGAUCUUCCCACUAGGUCUAAGCUGGCACAGAUAGAUAGAUAGAUAUUGAACUGUAACUAAGAUCUACUAUGCCAUCAAUAGUCAAAUGUAUGAACUACAACAUAAUAUGCAAUCUACCACAUAAUACUAUGUCAAGAAGUCACACACGUCUACUCAGUCACACAGGGGAGGAUCCGCUUACUCACCCAACUCACAAUCUAGUCACAACGGGGAGGAUCCGCUCACUCGCCCGACUCACAAUCUAGUCACAACGGGGAGGAUCCGCUCACUCGCCCGACUCACCAUACAAGUACCACAACCCAAUCUUGAUCUCAAGGGUGAGGAUCAGCUCACUCACCCUACUCACUUGGGAAGGAUCAGCUCACUCUUCCAAGACCGUCUGCGGGACCCAUAAAGGCUAUCCCUCGGGACCCAAAAAGGCUAUCCCUAUCAUGUGACAACUCCGGAGUGCACUGCUUGUGUGGAGCGACCACACCAAACUUCGAACAGACAUAUGAGUAUGAUCAAAUCCCCGUCACCGAGAAUACCCUACCACUCUAGACAACAUCACUUGGGAACUAGCUCAUCCCUAGGUUCCACCUGUGACAAGUAUUUUCUCUAUUCUUUACUUAUCAUGCCACUCGUCAAGUUUAACAUUAACUAGAUGCCAGUCGUUCUCAAUACUCUAAUUGUACACAACGGCUAGGUGUUCUUUCAACUAGAGUCUAUCCACAUUAAUCUUGUCAUUAUAGGCCAGGUUUCACUACACUAUGUCCCAAUCACAUGCAUACUAGGUACAAAUAUCCAAGCCAACAACACUAUAUUACACUAGCAUGUAAGAAUAUGUAAUAAUACUAAUCAAGCACCCUAUAAUGCAUCAUGCUGAAUAUGUAUAAUUGAUCAACAUAGAGAUACUUAGACAUAAGGAGAAGCCCAGUUGCUUCGGGAUGACACCCCCCACCUUUUAUCGCUACCACGAGGCUAGGGUUCCGUUCUUGUGAUUUUAGGAAGCUUUCGCCGCAAAUUGCGGCAAUCUGUACCUUAAUAAGCUUUUUCCUCAAUAUCUUUGUACCGGCUAGACGAAUCGUCGAACCGACUUCGCCAACGCGUCAGAAUACCUAGCAAUUAGGUUUACAGAGGGUCAAUUAAGAUCAAUCCCAACUAUUUACAAAAACCCCUUUUUGGAGCCCUAGGUUCCAACCGGUGCAAGAAUCCCCUUCAAGCUCUAAGAUUCGAGCCUAAAGCUUCUAUUUGGCAUCAAAAAGAUCCAAUGGAACCAAUUCUAGAUGAUAAAAACCCAACUAGAAGGAUCUACCAUGAGAGCUCUAGUGAGCUUACCUCUAUAGCAAGCUCCAAUGGUGGAGAAGAAGAAGAAGAUGAUGCUACUUCUUCUCUUGGCCUCAAUCUCCACCAAAAUCUCUUCCUCCUUCUUCCUCUUCUUCUUCUCCUUCUUUUCUUUCUAGAGAGAGAGAGGGAGAGUUUUAGGGUGUUAGGGUUGAGAGAAAUGAGAGGAGAGAGAGAACCCAUGCCUCUAUAGCCUUUCAUAAGUGCAAAAUUGUAAAAAACACCCUCAACAAUGCUUGCCUCACAACAGCCCAAGCUGGGCAAUUUUCACGUUCGGAGACCGGUCUCUCCCAGCCUGGGACCGGUCUCUCCCAGCCAGGGACCGGUCCCAGAGGGACCUUCAGCCCAGACUUAGCCAAAUUUCAGCUUCAUCCGUUUUCGCUUCGUUUUCGCUCGUUUUCGCUCGUUUAACCUCCGAUUCUUCUCAAAUCGAACCGAGACUCUCCAAAUAUGUUUUCGAGCGUAUUUUCAUCAUCUUUUCAUCCACGCUAAUGCCGGAUUUAGCUCACGGACCAACAUAGCCUUUCGGAUUUCGUUUUUGCGCCUACGCGCACCGAAACGCCCGAAUACUUCCAAACCUCACCGAACUUCACCGGAACCUUUCAAAUGGCUUCCCAACCAAAUAUAUACCGUAACUUCAUGAUUUUAGAAGUCCGGUACCUUACAAGACAAGUCUCGAGUCAACAAUGUCGGGACACUGGAGCCAAUGUCUAGGUGGUUUUUAAAGAACGAGGGUACCAAGCGGAACCAACGUAAGAAGUCACUUGGAUAUGUACUCACUCAUCAGUGACUUACUCAAAGUUGCAGUAGUGUGAUUGGUCCUUUGACAUACAAUUACUUGGCUAUUCAAACUGAGGUUACUGUAUUUUGAUUGUACUUACACUUGGUUCCUAACCAUUUGGGUCCUUACAAUGCAUAUUGGUUGUAGUAGGUUUGUUGUAGGAUUAGGGUGUGCACCUAUAUAAAAUCUAUCUCCCUUGUUAGAUGAGGGUAGAGUAAAUAGCGGAAAGGAUUUCCGAUAUUAGAAAUUUCAGCUGAAUAAAUUUGACAUAUAACAGAUGAUGGAGUUUGACGAGUUAUUCGUUGAACUGUGUCUAGUCGAGGCUCAUGAUAGAAGAACUGUAUCGCAUGUUAACCACACUUAAAGGUUUACUAUUUUAUUUUACUGGAAUGCCACUACAUAAUGUUAGACAUCACUAGUGGGUCAUGAGACUCAUAAAGGUCAUCUAGAUGAUCAAUAAUUCUCAUUGAGCUAAGUUGGAAUUAUUCCCUCCUACUGAAAGGAAUUUCAGUAAUAUUGUUGAUGGUGAUAACGAUAUAUCUAACUACCAAAUAGAAUAGAACCUAUGAGGUCAUACACAUAAGAGAUUGUAACUGAUCGGAUAGCUAGAUAACCAUUUUUGAGUUACCGAAGGAUCUAAUUGUCAAUAUGUUGAUAAUUGGACUAAUUUAUAAUUAUUAUAAUUUAGUGGUAUUAAAGUGCAAAUAUUGUAAGAGAGGACUUAGUAAUAGUUAGUAAGUUGUGAGAUGACUUAUGUGUAAAUGUUGCAUUGUUAAUUCGAUUUCAUCAAAUUAAGAAUGAAUUCGAGUUGAACUAAAUUAGGAUUUAAUUCGAUCAAACUAAUUAUGGAUAAGAUAAACUUAACAUUUUUGUUCUUAUUUUUAAUGAUUAUUAUGUUAUUAUAAAAGAAAUUAUAUCUUUCUUUAUAAUAUAUGUAAUUUUUGAAAAAAAAAUCCUAGUCAUCAUCCCCCUCCUCAUCUCUUUUGUCUUCUUCUCAAGUAGAGAUGCUUUAGUAAAAGAGACGUUCUCUACAAGAAAGUUAGCAUUCCGGUAAGGAUAUCAAUCAGAUCAACAAUCCUAUGUAGAUACCUACAGAGGCCGGACAUAUAUGCAGUUUCAAGAGAACCAAUUCUACAAUUAUCAGAUUGUAAUGAAGAUCUACUCGCGAAAAGGUGAAAAUAAGAUUUUUCAUUCCUUCUUUUUUAAUCUUAAAUAUAUGAGGGUCCUAUUUUGUGUUAUUUUUCAGAUUGGAUCUCGAAUUUUUAAAAAUCAUUUUUUUUUUCUCCUGCAUUUUUAUUGCACACAAAUACUAACACUUGGGGAGUGCCCAAGUGAUUUAGCUUAGUUGUUUUAUUGGUUUUGCUUAAUUAUUUUAUAUUUCAUUUCUAGUUUUACAAUUAUAUUGAAUUUAUAUUGCAGUAACCAAUGUUAUGGAUGUGGUGACUCAGUGCACUUUAUGUUAGUGGUUAUUGGUAAAAUCGUAACUAUACUUUUAAGUUGUUUUAAAUUGAUGAUAUAUGAUUUUAAAUGAUUUUGGACAAAAAUGGAGACUUCAAAUUAAUGUUUUUCUUGUGGGGCAUAAAGAGAAUUAAAAAACGAAAGCUUUUCUUGGAAUAUUUCGAUGUGUAGAAUAAGGUGAAAAUUGGAGGUUUUUGCUUGAUAUAAGUUGCAGGGAAUAAGAAGAACAUAUAUAUUGUUGGAAUCUCAUUAUCUUCCAAUGAGAAAACAAUGCAAGUCAUGUAUGUAUAUAUGGUUUCUACUCGAUCGUGAUGAUUGGCUGUAAUAUUUAUGGUGUAGAUUUCUUUGCAUGUACAGAGCAAAUUUUGUUGGUGUGCGUGCAAAGUAAAAUUUUGAAUAUGGCGGACUGGCAGUUCUACAGUUCUUUUAUAGUAUAAUGGGGUUUGCAUUGACAAUGAUCAACGAGACUAACUUUUUUAAAAAAAGACUUCCCAUUUGUUUCUUGGUGCUGCGCGGUCGCAUUCGAAUAGAUCGAUGGUUGGGAGGGAGGGUGGGGGGUGGUCUCUCUGGAGGGGGCGGCAAAGAUUUUCGCGGGGCGCUGCUCCCGCCGAGGCGAGCAUUUUUUCGGUGGGGGCGAUCCCUGUAUUACCGUUUUUGAUCCCGCUAUUCAACAUUAAAUGCUUCGGUUUGGACGCUGAUAAGGAUUUUCUUUUUCCGUUUUUUUUUUUUUUCCUUGACCACUACAGUGGUAGGUGAAAUUACAUUAGGCGUGUUUGGUUUAUUUUUUUUCAGUUGAUCGGCUCGGAAUCGGUGAUCCCGUUAGGUAGGAGUUGGUACGUCGCGUGGGGUGGGAGUGACGACCCAUUCGAGGUUCCGGAUUCCGUAUGUGGCGUAAUGGGAAUCCCCCAAUCACCUCUUUUUUCAAUCCGGCCUAGGGGGCCGGAUUGGAAGUUGAAUCCGGACGGAAUGGAUAUUUAUUCCGAUUAAAUUUAUUUUUUCAACUUUUUUAAUUAAACUAUGAGUUAAAAUUUAAAAAUUAAAUAUAUAAUUUUAAAUUUUAAUUUGAACUUAAAUUAAAAAUUAAAAUUUAAUCAAGUAUUUUGAAUCUAACUUAUGAAUUUGAAUUUAAAUUAAAUUAGAUUUAUAUAAAGUUUUAUUCAAAUUUUAUUUAAAACUUCAAUUAAAUUUAUGUGUUCAAAUUAAAAUUUAAAUUGUAAUUUUAAGUUUGAAUUUGAAUAAAUCGAAAUUUAGUUUUAUAUUUUGAAUUAUCCACUCAACUUCAAAGUUUAAUUUUUUUAAAAAAAAAUAGAUUUAAAAUUUUGACAUUAUUUCAAAAUUUUGAUGUAAAUGUUUAAUAUUUAAUUUUUAAUUUGAAUUUAAAUUAAUAUAUUAUAAAUAUAAAGUUAGUAUAUUAAUCUGAUUACGUUUUUUAUAUUUACCUGAACCAAACACCGACAAUGGAAAUAAUUUAUUCCAAUUCCGAUUCAGGUGAUGAACCAAACAGAAUUAAGUAAUGAGUCAUUCCGAUUCCGAUUCCAGCUUAUUUCGAUUCCGAAUCUGACUUCGAACCAAACACGCCCUAAAUUUGUGAAGAAUAAAUUAAAUUUAUUAUUUUAUUUUUUUUGUCUAAACAUUAAUUCUAUUUAAUUUGAUAGGCCGACAAAAUUGUUCAUCUCUAUUAUCAUAAUUGGCUUGCUUAUAAUAUGAAUUCCGAUUAACUGAUAGAUGCCAGCUUUUAAAGAAAGGAAAAGAUUACUUUUAGGGCACAUUUGGUUCAGAAAAGAAAUCGAAAUCAGAGUAAGUUUAAAGAAAGGAAAAGAUUACUUUUAGGGCACAUUUGGUUCAAAAAAGAAAUCGAAAUCAGAGUAAGAAUGGAAAUGGGCCGGAGUCGAAAACGAAAUAUUGUAAGAGGAAUUAAAAUCGAAGUCCAAAUUAUGUUUAAAUUAAAAUCCAAAAAAAUAAUUUUUUAGUAAAAUUUAAACUUAUUAUUCAAAAUUUUAAUAAAAAAUUUGAGUCCAAAUUUGAACUUACAAUUUGAACUUAAAAUUUUAAUUUAUAAUUCAAAUUCAAGAUCAAAGUCAAAAUUUAAAUUUGGAACUUUAACUAAAAAUUUAAGAAAUUAGUAUUUAAAUUUUAAAUUCAUAUUUCAAAUUUAAAUUUAAAAUUAUAAUUUAAUCUAGUGAAUUUAUAUGAUUAUAUUUGAACUCAUAUAAUUUUUAGUGAAUUUUUUUUCAAUCACUCUCGAAUCAAAAUUGACUCCGACCAUAAGGGAGUCACUUUUGAAGAGUUCACAUUUUUGCGGAAUGAAAAUCAGAAUGCCAAUCCCUCAAUCCAUACGCUUAUGGUGAGAAUGAAUUAUUCCAAUUUUUAUUUCAAAUCUCAAAUACUUCAAACGAAAUAUGCGCUUACAUUAUUAUUUUUUAUUGUCAAAUCAAUUGCAAACAAUUGUCAAGUUAGAGUUUGAGAUAAAAAAAAUACAAUACAUGUAGGAAUACUCUUUGAGAUUGCCGGCCACAAAUAACAGAUGUGUAAAAUUAAUAGGCAUUAGUUUUUUUUUUUUGUUUUUUUUUGAGAGAGAUAGCUAGCACGCUAUCCGCUUCGUUUAUUUUAUUUAGAAAUAAACUUAGCAAGAAAUGUGAAUCAAUUAGGAUUGAAAUUUGUGUCUCAAGUACCAACCACCAAGCCUUUUGCCACUUGCUCUAGGCAUUAGUAUUUUGUUAGAUGAUUCAAAACAAUUCAAAAACUUUGCUUAUUGUUGAGUUUGUAGUUUGAUAGGUUAUCAUUCAAGUUGAAAGUGAUACUCUAAUUAGCACUCUUGAUUUGUUAUUAAUUGCUAGUAAGUAUAAAUCAUGUCUAUGGACUAGAAAAUAAUAGUUUAAGUUAAUAUAUAUUUAUGAGAUAUNGGCUAAAGCAUUAUAUGAAUGCCUAAAAUCACUUUUGGGCUGAUUUGGGCUUUAUGUAAAAGGCUUUAGUAGGCCCAAAAGUUGCCAUCAUUUUGAAUGCUUUUUUUUUUUGAAAAAAAAAUCUUAAUGAUUUUGUGGUGUAACAAUAAGUUGUUGUAUUUUUAGGAUCAAUGCGUUAUGGUGUAUAUAUAUAUAUAGAGAGAGAGAGAGAGAGAGAGAGAGUGAGGCUACUAUGCUUCUGGAAGCACGGAGCCUUCCGUGCUUUCAGGUCGUUUUCGAUGUUGCCACUUUCGAAUUGUCGAUCGGCUCCGUAAAACUUGAUCUAGAGUAUUUGAAGUACUUAGAAAAUAAAUUUUAUAAUUUUUCGAUAUCAUUUGCCUAGUGAUCGAACGGACAAAAUCAAUAAUUUUAAUGGUCGUGGUGAGCCGUUUGCAAGUUUAACGGUGUAGAAAUAUCCAAAUUACAUGAAAUUUUGAUAGAAAAUUCUUUAUACUAUGCAAAACAAGAUCAAUAUCUUUGAUUUAAAAUUUUAAUGUCAUAUUAUUACAUUUUGUAAGAUUUUUAUUUUCAGCCGUUGAUUUUGAGCCCCUUCGUUCACUAGGAAAAUAAUAUCGUAAAAUCAUAAAAUUUAUUUUCUAGGUACUUUAAAUACUCUAGAUCAAGUUUAACGAAGCCGAUCGAUGGUUCGAAAGUCGCAACAUCGAAAACGAGCUGGAAGCACGGAAGGCUCUAUGCUUCCGAUAGCAUAGUAGCCUCACUCUAUAUAUAUAUAUAUAUAUAUAUAUAUACUGACCAUUUCGAAGCGUAGGGGCGGAAUUAGUGGAGUUAUUAAAAUUAUCUUAAUAUAUAUUUCCUAUCGCAUGGCCUAAGAAGUUGUCUACAUCAUUUUGUAAGUACACAUGUUAGCGUCGUGAAUUUCAAACAUUUAUGAUGCUUAAUUUUUGACUUUGGAUUAAGAUUUACGAAAGAGAUAAGUAUGAUGAUGUAAUUCUAAUAACACUCUAAAACUAACGGGAGAAUCUUACGUGUAAUGCAUGAAUCUUCUCUCUCGCACAAACAAUAUUGUUAUCUAAUUAUUUUCAUGUGCUUUAAAUGUAUUUUCUUUUCCAACAAAUAGUUGACCACGUGCUCUCUAUUUAUAUAUACCCCUGCGUGUCAAUUAUAAUAUACCAUGCAUGCAUGUGUAGAGACAAACCGGUAACUUAGAUUGGGUUUAAUAAAUCAUAUAUUCAUAAUUAAACUUUUAUAUAUAUAUAUAUAUAUAUAUAUAAUAUAUAAAAUCUUUCUAACAAAACAUUCAAAGAUUGUUGAGAAUUGGAUUUAUCUUUUACACCGAUAAACGAGGAAAACGUUUUAUCCGAAUAUUAAAAUUACAAAUUUUAAACCCUCUUGAUCAUUAAGUGCAAUGAUGUACGAAAUGAUUUGAAAUUGAUUUCUAAACACUUUAAGUGGUAUAGUAUCAUGUUCAACGGAGCGAUCGUCAAUUUGGGCAAGCUUAUUCAUCAAAAACAACUCUUUCGAUAGUAAAAUGGCCACGUUUCACUAUCGAGAGUAUUCUAGCUCAACAAUAUACUAUACUUAAUAAUAUAUAUAAUUAAUAUAUUAUUAUAAUAUAAUAUAUUAUAUAUAUAUAUUGAGUCGGCUGACUAUGCCUAUCAAUAGCACCAAACCCUUAUGUUAUUAAGUUUUCAGCCUGUUGGAUUAGCGCCUCUUUGAUUAUUUUUAUCCGUUAGUUAUGCUAUUCAAACCAACCCACUCAACCUAGAAAGAGCCACUCAUUAUUAACUGCACAUUCCUAAUUCAAGGGCUAAAAAAUUUCAAUACACCAAUAACGUUGGUUGCUAUUGAUAGUUAUGUCCACAAAAUUAUAUAGUGCUCAUUGAUAGUAUAUCGCCAUAUUAUAUACGGCCUGGAAUAACUAAUCAAUAGCCAAAGUUUUAGUGCCUAUUGAUUUUUUUUAGCUCUUGGAUUGAAUAAAUGGAGUGGUUAGGGAUGUGUGGGCCCCCAGGUGUAGUGAUGUGAUUGGAUUGAAUAGUAUAUUAACGAGCUAAAAAUAAUCAAAAGAUUAAUUAACAGUGUUAAAACUCGAUAGGCCUAGAAUCUUUUGGUGUAUCGUAAUACUCAGGCGGACUAUUUAAAUAUAUAUAUAUAUAUAUAGUUAUAUAUAUAUAUAUCUAAUAUUAUGAUACUAUACAUAAUUGAUAUCAAACGCUUAGCCACUAUUGAGUGUUCGAGCUGUCGGAUGAAAACGAUGUGUGCGGUUAGAAGGAUAAGUAGUUUAUUUAGUGUUUGAGGGGUGUUUGGUUGAAUGUACAUUCUAACGGGUGGAAAUUAUCAAAGGUAAAUUUUAACGGAUUAGAAAAUUCAAUAGUACCAAGAGUUUUGGGUACUAUUAGGAUUAGUUAUAGUGCGGACUAUAUAUAAUAUAUAAUAUUAUAUAUAUAUAUAUAUAUCUAUAUAUAUCUAUAAUUAUAUAUAUAUAUAUAAUAUAUAUAUAUUUAUAUUUAUAUAGUCAGUGCUUUGCUAUCGAUAGCACAAGCACUUGGUGCCUAUAAAAUUUUUCUUUUUUUACCAAGUUAGAUUAACCCCUUUGAUUAUUAUUUAUCUAUUAGAAUAUUACUAUUUCAACCACACCAUCAACCUUAGGGCCCAUAUCAUCCACCCAAUCUUCUAAUCAAAGGUGGAAUUAUAGCCAAGUCAUUGGUUGCCUAUUUAAUAGUUCCAUCCCAUUUUAUAUUAAUAUAUAUUAUAUUAUAUAUAAUAUAUAUUAUAUAUAUAUAUAUAUAUGCCUUUUUGAUAAAAAAUUCACUUAUUUUGGGUUUAUUUCAAAACCGGGCAAUUUUUGUUUUUUGCAGAUAUCGUCAUUUUUUCAGCAAAUGACCAAUAAUACCCUUUUAUAUAUUUUUCUCUCUCCUCUUUUUUUUCCUCUCUUUCUUCGAUCUCAUGUCGACGCGGACCUUUUUCUCUCUAUCUCUUUUUUUUCGUCUUUUUUUUUUCAUUCCUUUUUUCGUUUCUUUUUCCCAGAGAGUUCGUGUCCCGGCGUGGCGCCGUGCUCGCCGGCCUCGAUCGCCGAGAGGCUUAUGGAACACGCGCGCCGUGCUGCGAGCGAGCGACCGGCAGUGGGUCCGGCGACAAGCGUGAACGCUCGGCUGGAAGGCCGGGUGGAGCAGGCGUGGCGGACGGACAUGCGGGGGGGGGGCGGCGGGAGGGCGAAGGCCCGGGGCGGCUGUGCCGGCGGCACGGAUCCGCGCGGCUGAAGGACCCUUGCGCAGUUAGAGAGUAUCAACCUGAUCGCUUUCGUCUCACUGUCAACGAACGCCUACGGGGCAGCGAGAGCUCGGAGGAGUAAGGAAGCGUUCAUGCGCCUGGGGUGGGCCAGCACAGCUGUGGAGGAGGCGCGGGACGAGUGGCGAAGGCAGAAAUGAGAGCAGCAGAGGAAGAAGAAGAAGCAGAGGAGUUAAUAGAAAAAAAAAUGAGAGAGAGGACGGGCAGAGAGAGACAGCGCAGAGGAACAAGAAGGAGAAGAAGUGUUAAAAAGGAGUGGAAAAUUGCGAGGUGUAAGGUAGCAAAAUGGAAUAAAUAGUGUUUAAUGUGCAAAAUUGUAAUGUGUAAUGAUGUAAUGGAUGCAAAAAUAGUGUAAUGGUGUCUGGUGUUAAUAUGAUGCAAAUGUGUAAUGGAUGGUAAUUGUGUGCACAUUAUAAUGGUGAUAUGGUGUAAUGGUGUAAAAUUAGCUGAAUGGUGAUGGUCCAGAUUGCACCAUUAAGUGGCCAGAUUGAUUUUAUUUAAAAAAAAUUUUACACUAUUUUUUUUAUUCUUCUUCUUGGAUUGAACCAUUAGCUUUUUUUUUUCCUCUUUCUUUCUUCUUCUUCUUCUUCUUUCGAACAUGAAGCGUCGGGUAUCGGCGGCGGAGUGACGUAGGGGGAGAUGGAUCGCCAGAGGCCGGGCGCGCGAGGCGAAUGGGCCGAAUGGUUGGCUUCAAGGUGCUGGCGGCUCCGGGGCGGGGGGCCUUCGUGUCGUCGUUUCGUCACCGGGGAAUAGUAUGGAAACGGUAAGGAAGCGCGCGCCGGCGGCCUAGUAGCGAACAGCUGCGGCAGCAGCGCGGCGCCGGCGGUUAGUCGGGCUCUGGAAGUCGGCGCAGGGAGGGUCGACGAGGCAAGUAGAGUCUUCGCCCAGCUUGAGUAGGAGCGUUUGGGGAUCGAGCGGUCGGGCUCGGCAGUCGGACUGCGGUUGACCUCUCGGACUCUUGAGCACGGAAUCCGCGGUGGUCUUCGUUGAGGUCGACGUCGGUGCGAACUCAGAAGAGCUGGACGAGGUCCGGCGGCCUCCGGCGCGAUGGCGAGUGCUAGCCAGUGUGCUGAGGGAACGCUAGGUGACGGGCCUUCGGCCGAGGGCGCCACUUCCGGGUCGCUCCGCAUCCAGCACGGCGCGGGGCGAGCGUCCAUGGGAAAAGAAAAGAAAGAACUAAGAAAAAAAAAGGGAUGAGAGAGAAAAGAGGAAAGAGAAAUGUUAAGGGUUAUUUUUGGUCGUUUGAUUGAGCGAGACGAUCUGACCAAAAAACGAAAAAGGAUGGCCCGAUUUUGCAAGCCAAGAUAGUUGAUUUUUUAUGCAAAGGACACAUAUUAUUAUAUAUAUAAUAUAUUAUACACAUUUAGUUGAUGGUCAGUUUUUCUUACAAUAUGGUUUAAAAAGUUAUAUUUUGGAUAGCAGGCUGUUUUUGGAUUUUUAUUGUGUGCUUUUUCUCUUGUUUAUUUUUUUUUUUUGGAGAGAUAGGGAUCACACACGACCUGCCUUGUUUAUUUCAUUAGAAAUAAAAUAGUAUGAAAUGUAACAAACUAGGAUUUGAGCUUGGAUUUGCAGGUAUCCAACCACUGCAGCCUUUUGCACUGGCUCUAAGGACGGUCGCUGGUGCUUUUGGUUUGUUCUGUGGCUAACAAAAUCAGAGGGGUUAGAGGAAUCCAUAUAUAUAUAUUUUAUGUUCCUUGAAUUCAUUUUAUUAAAACAUAUUCUGAUGUUGGAUCGCUACUCAACUUUUUCAUAGUUUAUCAAGAUGUUUAAAUUAUAAGUCGAAGUCAAUAGUAAUUGUUGCGAUUCUUCAUUAAUUAUUGCAUCGUAUGCAUCACAAGAUAAAAUUACAUUUUUUUUUGUUCUAUUAUUAUAAUUAAUCCAGCAGAUGAUCUAACACAUUCUAUUAAUUCUUUCCAGCAAAGUACGUAAUCUAUACGCAGAAUCAGAUUCCCUCAGUUAGAUCUAGCAAAUAGAUCAAAUUUUUAAUUAUUUGGUCGAUCCGAGAUCUAAAAAUUGUUUACUGCUUAAAUUUCACUAACCACAAAUCCUAGGAUGUGUUGUAGAGGUUGGGGAGAUCUUGGGGCUAAUUAUACAGUGUGUUCCUGGAAAAUGAAAACGAUCAAAAGAUGACCAUUAUUAACCGCAAUCAAAUAUGAUAAAGAAUGGAAUACUAAUUCCCAAAUCUGAAUUUUUGUUUUGGUAGAAACGUGCAGAACUCAUCUGAACUAUAAGCCAUUUUGAAUUAUCUAUCCAAUUUCUCAAAAUUUUGAUUUUACUAUCCAACAUUUCUUUUUAUUUGACAGUCAGUCAAUGAUAUUUUGAAUUCAAAAAUUGAAUACGUUGUCUAUUUUUACAGGUUUAGUUAGUAUAUUACAUGCAAUUCUUGAAACUAUAAAUUCAUAAAAGUAAUUAGUUUAAAUUUUAAAAUAAAAAUACUUGACUAAUUCAAAUUAAAUAAAUUGAAAGGUUAAAAAGUAAAAUCAAAAUUUUGAAAGAUUGGAUAGCCAAUUCAGAAAGAUCCACAGUUCAUGUGAGUUUUGUACAUUUUUAUUUUUUGUUUUAAAAAUCUAGCAAGUAAGAAAUUCGAGUUUAUGAAUAAUUAAGAUUUUUUUUUUUUGCUUUUCUGAAGGAAUUAAUUAAUGGCAAUGUCUGUGGUCAGUUGCAUCAAUUAAAAUUAAGGGUCAACUUCAAAUACCACCCAUUUGGUUUCUUAUUUUUUUACUUUAGUAUCAUGUGAUUUAAAAUAUAUCAAUUUAGUACCCCGUGGUUUCAUUUUUAUCUUUUCAUCAGUCCCUCCGUUAUAACUUUUCAUUAAAUCAUAUACAAAAAACUUCAGAUAUCACACUUAUAGUUUAUCGAAUUUUACUUUAAUACCCUUUAAUUAGUUUUAACUUUGUUACUGAUUUACCGAAAAAAAAUUAGUGAAGGGAAUAACAAAACGGAGAAAAAUAAAACCAGGGUAAGAAAGUGAUACACUUUAAAUCAAAAAAUAUUAAAAUGAGAAAGUAUGAAACCACGGGAAUGAUAUUUAAAGUUUUUUCUAAAAAUAAUACCCUAGCUAAAAUUUUACUUGCUUAUGGAAUGUGCUGUUGUGAAUGAAUGUAUUCUGGUAAAUGAAUUGGCGGUCUAAAUUAAAAUGACUAACAAAUCAAGGGAGAAAUUACACUACAACAGAAUUAGGUUAUAGCGACACAUGUUUGGGACACUUUUUUAUAUGUGUCACGUUUAUGUCAAAACUUAAAAAAAUUCUAUUAAUGUCUAAAUAUAAAGUCCAAUCCAACUAAAAAUAAAAGGGUACUCUACUCGACCCACUCCACUUAGCCCAUCCGGCCCGAUUACAAACAGAAAAGAAAAAGAAAAGAAAAAGAAAAGAAAAUUCGAUUAUCAUUUUUCCUUUUCCCGUCACUCAAUCGACUGAAAUCCUAAACGAAGAUCAUUUCCUCUUGUCCUCCUCCGCCACCGUAGCCAACGAGGUAGAGUUCCGGCGGUUGCUAGAUGUUUAAAUAAAUAUUGGUAAAUUAGCAGCACUCUUUUAGAUUAUAGCAACACUCUUUAACUGUCACUAUAUAUCUAGCGACCCCACAUGUAGCAACACUUUUCAAAUGUGUCGGUAAAUUUAGCCGGCAGCACUUUUUUGACCUAUACCGACAUUUAAAAGUGUCGCUAUAGACCGUNCACUACAACAGAAUUAGGUUAUAGCGACACAUGUUUGGGACACUUUUUUAUAUGUGUCACGUUUAUGUCAAAACUUAAAAAAAUUCUAUUAAUGUCUAAAUAUAAAGUCCAAUCCAACUAAAAAUAAAAGGGUACUCUACUCGACCCACUCCACUUAGCCCAUCCGGCCCGAUUACAAACAGAAAAGAAAAAGAAAAGAAAAAGAAAAGAAAAUUCGAUUAUCAUUUUUCCUUUUCCCGUCACUCAAUCGACUGAAAUCCUAAACGAAGAUCAUUUCCUCUUGUCCUCCUCCGCCACCGUAGCCAACGAGGUAGAGUUCCGGCGGUUGCUAGAUGUUUAAAUAAAUAUUGGUAAAUUAGCAGCACUCUUUUAGAUUAUAGCAACACUCUUUAACUGUCACUAUAUAUCUAGCGACCCCACAUGUAGCAACACUUUUCAAAUGUGUCGGUAAAUUUAGCCGGCAGCACUUUUUUGACCUAUACCGACAUUUAAAAGUGUCGCUAUAGACCGUUUUUGUUGUAGUGUUAAGACAACGUUGUUGGCGCGCUCAACUUAAGACUGACCGAUCUGUUCGUUAUAAGGGGGUUCCUCUCGCUGUCUUGCUAACUUUAAAAGAGGCACAUGCUGGUAGGCUAUUCGAAGGAUUAAUUCUAUCAAAUUCUUAGGCCUUGUUUCAUAUUAUGUUUAUUAUUUUAUUUAAAAAAAAAAACUUUUAUAUGUUGAUAUUGUUAGGAUUCGGUUAAAUAGUUGAUUUCUAGUUGAAUAGGAUUGAUAUUUAAAUCUAUUAUAGAUAAAUUAAUUAAGAUUUAAAUAUUAAUAAAAUAGAAUUUCAAAUUAUAUUAGGAUUGGGAUAUAUUUUUUGUGGGAGCUAUAUAUAUUAGCACAUUAAGCUUCCGAAGGUAUCAGCCAAGGCUGAAGGCUUAAUUGGGGGUAUGGGACCUUGGAUAGUCCAUAUGAGAGAGGGAAAGUUGGCCGGGUUGCACGCACUUUGUGCACAGGUGCAUGUGAGAGAGAAAGACGAUAGUCUUUUAGAUUUAUAAAAGACUAGAGAAAGAUGAUAGAGAUUUAGAAAGAGGACUCGAGUUGAAGCUACUCUACUAUAGAAAAGGAGUCAGAUACAAUCUUCUUUUAAUUAUUUUAUAUGUAUAUUUUAUGUUUGAUUUUUCUCUCCUUUGUUGUUAUUGUCAGCAAUAGCCUUUUUGUUGAAGAGACGGGUAUAUGAUAAAAAUCCGAUUUGGUGCUUCUGUUGUGGGAUCCCAACAACUGAUACCGAAUCAACAAUAAUUUAUAUCAAAGCAGGUUGCAGAUUAUCAAAACUUGGUAUCAGGGUGAGCACCAGAUUUUCAACAAUUGGUAUCAGAGCUUAAGGUUAUCGAUUCUCAGGUGAGAUCUAUAGAGAUGGCCACAAAGUUUGAAAUCGAGAAGUUCGAUGGCAAGACCAGUAUCGGCUUGUGGCAAUUAAAGUAUGGUCAAUCCUUGUAAAACAAGAGUUAGACGAGAUAUUGAACGAAUUAAAGAGGCGGAGCCGGCGGAUGUCAUUGAUGCGAUAUGGGAGAAGAUGGAGCGAAAGGCACUGAGUACGUUUCAUCUAUUAUUAGCAAAUGAGAUUCUUUACAAUGUAGCCAGCGAGUUGAUAGCGGCAAAAUUGUGAAAAAAAUUAGAAGAUCUGUAUAUGACCAAAUUCCUGACAAAUAGAUUGUAUCUGAAGUACCGACUGUUCAUGCUACGAAUGCACGAAAUAGCGAAAAUAUAUGAGCAUCUAAACGAGUUCCAUAAGGUGGUGGACCAAUUAACCAGUAUCGGAGUCAAUUUGGAUGACGAGAAAAAAACGCUGAUUUUAUUAUGUUCGUUACCGGUAGCAUAUGAGCAUCUAGUGACCACAUUGCUUUAUGACAAAGGGACCAUGAGUGUGAAUGUUGUCACGACGACAUUUCUCUCAAAUAAGAUAUGGAAGAUGACUCAGGUAUCCAGUGCGCAGAGUUGGGAUAAAACUUUAGUUGUGAAAACGAAGAAGGAGACGAAAAUAUCGACGACCAUGGAUAGACAGAAGAAGCCGCUAUCUAAGGUGGAGAGCUUCCACUAUUACAAGAAAGGGAACAUAAAGCACAACUGUCGGAAACUUCAGAAUGAUCUAAAAGAGUUGAAGUGAUAGAAAGAGAACUAUCGUGAACAAUAACAAGGCAACAUCAGCAAUGGCCAAGACGGCAAAGUCAGAGAUGGUUGAUUCUGAUGUGUUAAAUGUGGCAACUAGUGCUAAAAUUUCAAAUGAUGCGUGAGUAUUUGAUUCGGCGUGUUCCUUUCACGUCUCCCUAGAGGAGUCUUUUGCCACCUAGAAGGAGAUCAAAGGUGGAAAAGCUCUCAUGCGGAACAGGAUGGCGUGCAGUGUUUUGGGAAUCACCACGGUGAAGAUCUAGAUGCACGAUGGGGUUGUGAGGACGUUGACAGGUAUGCGGCACGUUGUUUGUUUGAAGCGGAAUUUGAUCUCGCUAGAUGCGUUGGACUCGAAGGGUUGCAAUUUUCCUGGUUUAGAUGGAGCUAUGAGGUUUCGAAAGCUAUAUCGGAUCGUGUGUAAGGCGAACAAGCUCGGGAACUUAUACGUUCUGAAUAUGAGCACAAUCAGAAUAGGAGAAAUAUCAAUUUGGGUACCAAAAGUUUUCAAAGAUGUAGUCGCUCGAAGUGGCGCUACAGAUGUAGCAACAUCGAAUAGAGGAGACAAGCUCAAGGAAGAGCUUACAUGAUGAGCUCAACACGGCGGUUAAAGACUAUACAAAUCAAACAAGAUGGCGAUUGUUAGAAUUUAGUUAGAUUUGUAGUUAAUUUCUAAUUGAAUGAAGAUUAAUAUUCAAAUAUAUUAAGAUUCGGUAAAUUUUUUUUGGAUGCUACAUAUAUAGCAAAUUAAGCUUGGAUGGUACGACCAAGGCUGAAGGCUUUAGUGGUAUUGGACCUUAGGUAGUCCGUAUGAGAGAGAGAGAGAGAGAAAGAGAGAGAGAGAGAGAGAGUUGGCCAACCUAGCGCUGGACUCAAAGGUUUACAAUUUUUAGACUUUAGAUGGAACUAUGAGGAUCCGAAAGUGAGAUCGGAUCGUGUGCAAGGCGAACAAGUGCAGGAAUUUAUACGUUUUGAAUGGAAGUACAAUCAGAAUGGGAGGAAAGUCAAUUUGGAUUCCAACAGUUUUCAAAGGUGCAGUCGCUCAAGGUGGAGCGACGGAUGCAGCGAUAUCGAGCAGAGGAGACAAGCUUAAGGUAAAGCCUAUAUGGUGAGCUUGACACAACGGUUAAAGAUUACAAUCAAAUCAAGGUAGAGAUUAUUAGAAUUUGGUUAUAUUUGUAAUUGAUUUCUUAUUGAAUGAUAAUUAAUAUUCAAAUAUAUAUACAGUGAGGCUUGUAUGCUUCUGAAAGCACAAAGCCAUCCGUCCUUCCAAAUGUUGGGACUUUCGAAUCGACGAUCGGCUCUGUUAGAUUUGAUCUAGAGUAUUUGAAGUAUCUAGAAAAUAAAUUUAAUUUGCAAUUUUUCGAUAUCUUUUGCCUAAUGAUCGAAGGGGCUCAAAAUCAAUAAUUUUGAUGACCGUGGUGAGCCAUUUGCAAGUUCAACUUGGGUGGUACAGCCAAGGCUGAAGGUAGGGUAUUGGAACUUAGGUAGUCCGUACGAGAGAGAGGGAGGGAGUUGGCCGGGUUGCAUCCGCCUUGUGCACCGGUGCAUGUGAGGGAGAAAGCGGACAGUCUUUAAAGUUUAUAAAAGACGAGAGAAGGAUAAAAGAGAUUUAGAAAGAGAGGUCGAGUUGAAACUAUUCUAUUAUAGAAGAGAAGUCAAGUGUAAUAUUCUCUUAAUUAGUAAAUCUUAUUUUAUCUGUAUAUUUUAUAUUUGAUUUUUCUCUCCUUUGUGGUUAUGCCAAUAAUAACCUUUUCGCUGAGGAGGUGGGUUUAUAAUAAAAAACCGUGCUUUCAUUGUGGAAUCCCAAUAAUUGAUACCGAAUGAACAGUCGUCGAUAUCGGAAUUAUAGAUUCUCAAAAUCUAGUAUCAGGGCGAGUAUCAGAUUCCCAACAGAAACAUACCGAAUGAAUAGUGGAUAAUUUAAAUUAUUUUAUCUAAUGUGUUUACUUAAUUAGCAACAAAAAAAUAUUUAUCUAUUGCUGCUAAUUUUUUUAAAAAAAUAAGUUAUUAUUUAUAACUUAACUGAAUGCAUCGUAAACUAGUCAAUUAUAAUAAUAAAAAAUAAUCUUUUCUCUAACAUAUUAAAAUAUAUAAAUUUAAUAUUUAAGAAAUAAUUACGAGAACUUUGAUUUGUAGUUCCCAUGCCACGAAAGAGAACACAAAGUGCUACAAAGAGAGAUGUGAUUUCAAAGAGAAAGAUGGAGCUUUGUGAAGCUUUGGUAGGAGCGUGCAUGGAGGGUGAGAAAAGUGACAAAGGAGAUUAAUUCGGAUAAAGCUACAUUAGGAACAAGCGUAUUUAAAUAUAUUUUCUAUUGGUUAGUAAUUAGUCUCUCGUACAUUUUUAUAUUUUGUUUUCCAGAGCCGUAUUGAAGAUUUCAACAUGUGACUAUUUGACCUAAUUUCUAAUCUAGUUUUCUAUUUCUAAAACCAACAACCACAUUUGACAAGCCAACAAUAAUAAUAAUAAUAAUAAUAAUAAUAAGGUAAAACUUAUACAUGGAGACCCGGCCCCUGAAUUGACUCCCACCGUAUAACCGACCGUCCUAGCGCAAGUGGCAAAGGACUUAGUGAUUGAUAUUCGAGACCCAACUUUGAAUCCUAGUUAAUUCACAUUUCUAGCUAAGUUUAUUUCUAAAUGAAAUAAACGAAGCGGGUAGCAUGUUACCUUUCUCUCUCUCUCUCUCUCAAAAAAAAAAAAAAAAAAAAAAAAAAAAAAAAAAAAAAAACAAAGACUCCCACCAUAUAUAGUUGGGCAUCAAGUUUGAUUUCGGAUUAAUUGAGAAAAGAAUUUUUUUCUACUAAUAAUUAUUUGAAUUUAAAUAUAAAUCUAAAAACAUAAGCUCAUUAGAUUAAAUUUAAAUUUAAAUUUAAAAUUUAUUUUUUAAAUUUUUAAUUUAGUAAUUCUAAAUUUAAAUGUUGACUUUGACGUUGAACUUGAAUUGUAAAUUUAAAUUUUAAGCUCAAAUUUAAAUUCAAAUUUUGAUGAUGAAUUUGAAUAAGAAUUUGAAUAACAAAUUUAAAAUUUAAUAAAAAUUUAAUUUUUAGAAUUUUUGUUUGAACAUAAUUUCGAUUCUGAUUCCUCUUAUGGACCAAACAAAUUAUUUUUUUAUCAUUCUAUUUUCGAUUCUGGCUCAUUCCUAUUCAUGUUCUGAAUUCGAUUUUUCCUAUUUUAAACCAAUUAAUUAUGCUCCAGUAUAUUUAAUGUAAUUUUUGUAAUUAUAAAUUUAUUCAAAUAAGUAAUUAAUUUAAAAUUUGAAGUUAAAUUAUCAUUGACUAAUUCAAAUUAAACAAAUUGAAAGGUUAGUUACAAAAUCAAAAAUUUCAAAGUUUAGACAACUGAUUCAAAAUAUUUCAUAACCCAGACAAAUUUUGUACAUUUUUAUCUAAAAUUUAUGCUACGAAGGAAGGUUUGCUUCACCUACAACCAAAAGCCAUCUCUCUCUCUCUCUCUCUCUCUCUCUCUCUCUCUCUCUCUUCUUCUGACAAGCAUUAAAGAUACAAGAUUUUUUUUUUUUUUUUUUUUUUUUUUUUUUUUNGAGGUCACAGCGCGUUCACGGACACAAGGAAGGAGGAAAGAGACCUCAUCGGUCGUAACGUCGUUCCGCGGAAGCUGUUUCACCGAAGUCCUUUUGCGGAAUCGGAGAGCAGAGAAGGUGCUGCUACUACUACCAAAAUAAAAAAUUAAAUUAAAUAAUUUUUUAAUUUAAAUUAUUUGUUUAAUUUAAAUAAUUUUUUAAUUUUAUUUGUUUGAAUUUAGCAGGUCAAUUUUGCUCAGCCAAGCCCGGUGUCCUCUGACGUUUUUAUUUUUUAUUUUUUAUUUUUUUUUUAGAGAGAUAGGUAACACGCUACCCGUUUCAUUUAUUUUAUUUAGAAAUAAACUUAGCUGAAAAUGUGAAUCAACUAGGAUUCGAAUUUGGGACUUCGGAUACCAACUACCAAGCCCUUUGUCGCUUGCUCUAGGAACAGUCGGUCAAGAUACAAGUUUUUAAGAUGAAUGAAUUAUACACGGGCCUAAUGUGUAGGCCCCAGCUAGGUAUAUAUGGGCCCAGAAUUGUGCAAUUAGUUGAGUGGACCAUCAAAUGAAAAUAGGAUUAAAUAAUGAGACUCGACACGCUUUGUGUUCCGGUAUUUAUAACGACAAUGCAAUAAUGUACACCUAUUCAAUUCCUCAUGUAAUUUUCUACUGCAUUUAAUACAUGCCAUGAUUUUGUCUCCUUGUACAAAUAACUUGGACCGCUGCAAACUGGUGGAAUGACGCUAAAAUAGAUAUUAAUAUCAGAUGCGCUUCACAUGAGCAAUAAUUUGGACCGUACAAAUUAACUGACAAUAAUCCGCUAAAUAAGGGAAUAGAACUCAAUAUUUUGGGUCUCCAAAACACUUUCCUUUGUUUGCUGGCAAUCCCAUGUUAAACUUCUCAAUUGCCUGCAGUAUCUCGUCAAAUCCCUAUCUAUUAUAAUAACUAGCGGUACAUUAAUAAUAUAUAAAGAUAAUAUUACAAAGGAUUUAUAUCGAUACUGUAUAUUGGUAUUGCGAAAAAUCAACACUUUGAGGCCAUACGAGAAAUUCCGUAGAUAUUGAAAGGAUGGCUUGAAGAGACUUAAUUAUCUGUUAUAUUUAGUGAAAAGUUAACUGUUAUCGUAAGAGAUUGCAGGAAAGAAUAUGUUGUUUGGAAUAUAAAGAGAAUUAGUGUGUUAUAUCUGGGGAAAAUAUAUUGGGGGAAAAUUUUUUUUAUUUGCUUAAUUACAUGGUAGCACGUCUUUCAUAUUACACUAAUAAUUCAGUUAAAAUAUAAUUUCUACGGUUCCAUAAGAAAACUUAGAAAUAUGUUUCCUAUAUGUUUCUAGCUAGCCCAAAAUUCUUUUUACAUUAUUAGGGGCAGCUCUCAAUAUUAAAUGAACCGUUAGUAACUUGUUGCAUCAUUAUCAUCUUUCACAUAAUUUGUCUAUUUUGUGGACCACGAUAUACGACUAAAAGGAUCUGGCGAAUAUUUUGUUCAGUAGAUAUACUUUGUUUAUAGUAAAAAUGUACGUACAUAAGUUACUAAAUUAUGGACCAUGUUAAGUCGGCGAUCCAAUCUUUCAAAAAUUUGAUUUUACUAUCUAACAUUUCAAUUUAUUUGGUUCGAGUCAGUCAACGGUAAAACUACACCAUGCGUAAAAAUAAACAACACAUUCAAAUUUAAGAUUAAAUUGUUGUUGACUAAUCCAAAUUAAAAAAUUGAAAGAUGAUAAAAUGAAAAAUUUUGAAGUUGGAUAGCCAACUCAAAAUAGUCCAUAAUUCCUAUAAAUUCUGUACAUUUUUAUCUUUGUUUAUUUAUAGACCUUACAAAAAUUAGAAGAUGAGGAACGUGAUUAGAUGUCUACAACCGUAUAAUUAAUAUUUAUGACCUCUACAUUAUUUUUUGGAAUAAAAAUAAAUUUCUCCUGAAUACAAUGAAAUUUUAAUGCAUAGAAUUGUCUUGCCUUUUUGGGCAAGAGUGUGUUUAUAUUGCUAGUCUUUUAUUAGCAAAUCAUAAUCAUAUUAUUGUCUUGCGUAAAUUGCACGUUUGGCCUUCAAACUAUGGAGCAUGCGACAUUUUAGUAUUUAAAUUUUAAUUUAUUGUAAUUUUUAGCUCAAACUUUUAGAAUUAUUGCAAUUAAGUCCCGCUAUAAAUUAGUUGACUAAAUUUUAUCAUAUUGUUGAUAUAAAAGUGAUGUGACAUUAUAAUUACUUGUGCAUAUGCAUCAUCAAUCACAACACUAUUAUAUCACCUCAUAUUAGUGAUAUAUCGAUAUUUAGUUAAUUAAAUUGUGUUAUAAGUCUUGAUUGCAAUAAUUCUGAAAGUUCAAGCUAAAAGUUAGAACAAAUUAAAGUUUGAGGAUCAAAGUGUCAAUGGCCUCUUAGUGUGAGGACCAAGUGUGCAAUUUAGUUUGAGAAGUAAUUUCUACUGAAUUGAUUUUGAUUUGAAAAAUUACUAUCGAGUUAAAAGCUAUAGAGUAUUUAACUGAAUUUGAUAGAAAAAUAAUUUUUCUAAAAUAAUUUUGUAAAGCUGUUUGAUAAUUUUUAAAAAAAAAAAAAAAACUGAGGUGGUUGUUCUUGCUGUAAAAUGCUAAUAUUACCUAACUACUUGUAAAUCUAGAGCUGUAGUUAAUUUUAGUACUAUUUAUGAAAGAAAAUAUAUGGUAAUAUUUGUCAAUAAACCUUAAGAAAUCAACAACUAUUUGUGAAUAAGAAUACAUGAUAGUGAAUAAAAAUUAGAACAAUAAUCUAUCUAAAUACACUAAACAGAGAUGCAACGAUACAAUCUUGAUUUGUUUGAUUAUAAUGUAAUCAUUUUACUCUGCUAUCAUUCCAUACCAAAAUACUUGUACUACUUUCAUCUUCUUCCACUAUCUACAUAAAGACAUUACCAUUCAUAAACGACAAACAAAAAAACCGACUUGUGGUCCACUAAUUCUAUUUGUUUAAAAUAUUACUCGUUAAUUGAACAACAUUAUAUGAGCAGUAGUAUGUGGAUUAUAUGGUGUAUAUCAAUUAUUAAAUAUAUGGCCACCACUCACAUCCUGGACCUCCUUUAUGAAAACUAUUUUGCAAACAUUUCUUAUUUGAAAGCAGAAUUGCAUACAAGCUAUUUGAAGAUUAAUUUAGAAUAUUAUGCAGAGCGCGGCAUACCCACUAUACAGAUAGAGCCUCUUCUACGUAUCUGCUGCAUAGAUAUAAGACAACAACAUAACAUGAUCACUAAUUACACAUCAUGCACUAUUUAUAUAUAUGGCAGAAACAAUCACUACACAAGCUAAAUGAAGCUUAACAAACCAUCAAUUAUUCCAAUCAACAAAAAUCCUCAAAUACUAGCAUACAAAUCUGAAACUAAUUGAGAGGAACGACCAGGUAACUCUCUCUCUCUCUCUCUCUCUCUCUCUCUCUUUUUAAAAUCUCAACUCUGUCGCUCCCUCUAACCUUAAAUCUCUCUCUUUAAGCUAAGUUCUUCCUCUCUUUUUAUCUCUCUAUAUCUCUAACCUAAAAGCUCGGUUUUUAAUCCCAACUCUCUCUCCCUCUAACCUGAAAUUUCUCUCUCUCUCUCUAAGUUAAGCUCUUCCAAUUUACCUAAAAACAAAUUCUUUAUUAUUGUUGAAAAGAAAAAGGUAUAUUAGCUAGCUGUUUUGUUUAUUACUAUUUGAUCAUUAGUAUCUUAUACAACUUUUCUAUAAAGAUGUUGAAAUUUCUGAUAGCAUUAUCUGCUAUUAAUUAACGAAGCAAAUAUAUUAAUUGUAUAUUUUUCAUAAUCUUAAAUAAUUUGAUCGUACGAACUAAACACCGGAAUGUCAAAUUCUUAGUAAUAGAAUGAGAAAGAAUAAGAUCUUUGGACAUCUUGGAUUUCCUAGUAAAUUUUU
rnacentral:lncRNA from 1 species